GACGAACGCUGGCGGCGUGCUUAACACAUGCAAGUCGAACGGAAAGGCCCUGCUUUUGUUGGGUGCUCGAGUGGCGAACGGGUGAGUAACACGUGAGUAACCUGCCCUUGACUGUGGAAUAACGUCAGGAAACUGGGGCUCAUACCGGAUAGGAGCUCCUGCUGCAUGGUGGGGGUUGGAAAGUUUCGGCGGUUGGGGAUGGACUCGCGGCUUGUCAGCUUGUUGGUGGGGUAGUGGCUUACCAAGGCUUUGACGGGUAGCCGGCCGGAGGGGGUGACCGGCCACAUUGGGACUGAGAUACGGCCCAGACUCCUAGGGGAGGAAGAAGUGGGGAAUAUGGCACAAGGGGCGGAAGCCUGAGCAAGCAACGCCGCGUGCGGGAGGACGGCCUUCGGGUGGUAAACCGCUUUCGCAGGUGACGAAGUGGGAGUGACGGUAACGGGUAAAGAAGCACCGGCUAACUACGUG
rnacentral:rRNA from 1 species